rnacentral:misc_RNA from 1 species
GCAAACUUGGUCAUUUAGAGGAAGUAAAAGUCGUAACAAGGUUUCCGUAGGUGAACCUGCGGAAGGAUCAUUACCGAGUGGCCCAAGUCCGCAAGGACCGGUUACCCGACCUCUUGUCAUUUGCUCUGGGGUCGCCGGCAAGGUUCGGCCCGCACUUCCUCCAUGUGGGGUUGGGCGGGUCGCGCCGAACUGGCGGCCUCAGCUUCGAUAACUUCGGCGGAAGUGGUAGGUUCGACCUGCCCGCCGCCGGCCGUAUUCAACCUGCAAGUAAUUUUGAAGUCUGAUUUGAAUCAUAAUGAAAAGCAAAACUUUCAACAACGGAUCUCUUGGCUCUGGCAUCGAUGAAGAACGCAGC